UACGGAGGGUGCGAGCGUUAAUCGGAAUUACUGGGCGUAAAGGGUGUGUAGGUGGUUUAUUAAGUUAUCUGUGAAAGUCCUGGGCUCAACCUGGGGAGGUCAGAUAAGACUGAUAGACUUGAGUAUAGGAGAGGGUAGUGGAAUUUCCGGUGUAGCGGUGAAAUGCGUAGAGAUCGGAAGGAACACCAGUGGCGAAGGCGGCUACCUGGCCUAAUACUGACACUGAGGCACGAAAGCGUGGGGAGCAAACAG
rnacentral:rRNA from 1 species